CUGAGCUGUGGGAGGCUCGCCAGUUCUCAGGUCUGCUAAUGAGUGGUGUGGUGUCUGGCAAGGAUCUUGCCUGCGAGUGAGUGUGACUAAUCAUGAAUCUUCUCAAUAUCGCUGACAAUUCAUUCUCCUUUCUCCCCUUCAGCCGCUUUCUUUGCUAGAGCUGGCUGAAAUAGGAGCAAAUUAGUCUCAUUCUGGAAAAGGCAGGGCAUGUUCAGAGGACCCCCUGAAAGGUUUCCAGUGCUCGGUUCCCGGAUGCGUUGCAGUCAGUGUAAUUACCUGACUUGGGUGAGUCAGUUUUUUGUGGCUGUUUCCCACGUUUCAUAGCGGGCAUCUGAAGACACCUGCGCCUGCGCCACUGGCCUAUUGGACAUGUUUGCAUUUGACACCAGGAAAAGCAGUGGUGCGAUUAUCCCAUGAGUGCGGCAGCUCUGGAGCUGGGCAUCUGUGCAUUCCCUGUUCAAAUGCUCUCCUUCAUCAGAUACGAUUCCUCAGGGAGGAAAGGUGUGUGGAGCAGGCUCGGGGAAGUCAGCGCACAGUGUGUUAGGUAAUGGGCUGAGGAGCUUUGUGCCAGCUCCCCUGCUGCUGAUUGAGAUCUCUCAGAGGAGAGCAGCAGUUCUCUAACAACCAACGUGUGCCCUCAUCAUGACCAGAUCUCUGCGAUGACUCAGGUACAAUUUCCUAAUAAUCCAGCCAAAACGUUUUGAGAGACGCCAGCAAGAGAAGAAAGCAAAGGGAACAUGGAUUGAGAUUUGGAAAACACUGGGGUAGUUCAUAAAACUCUUGGUUCUUUAAAUAAACACCGUGUAGCUCA